UACGUAGGGGGCGAGCGUUGUCCGAAGUUACUGGGCGUAAAGCGCGCGUAGGCGGGGGGUUAAGUCAGAGGUGAAAGGCUGGGGCUCAACCUCAUGCAGUGCCUCUCAUACUGGUCCUCUUGAGGGCGGUAGGGAGAAGUGGAAUGGCUGGUGUAGCGGUGAAAUGCGUAGAUAUCAGGCGGAACACCGGUGGCGAAGGCGGCUUCUUGGGCCGUUCCUGACGCUGAGGCGCGAAAGCUGGGGGAGCGAACGGG
rnacentral:rRNA from 1 species